rnacentral:rRNA from 1 species
CGGGGUGAGUAAUGUCUGGGAAACUGCCUGAUGGAGGGGGAUAACUACUGGAAACGGCAGCUAAUACCGCAUAACGUCGCAAGACCAAAGAGGGGGACCUUCGGGCCUCUUGCCAUCGGAUGUGCCCAGAUGGGAUUAGCUAGUAGGUGGGGUAACGGCUCACCUAGGCGACGAUCCCUAGCUGGUCUGAGAGGAUGACCAGCCACACUGGAACUGAGACACGGUCCAG